rnacentral:rRNA from 1 species
UACGUAGGGUGCAAGCGUUAAUCGGAAUUACUGGGCGUAAAGCGUGCGCAGGCGGUCUUGUAAGACAGAGGUGAAAUCCCCGGGCUUAACCUGGGAACUGCCUUUGUGACUGCAAGGCUUGAGUACGGCAGAGGGGGAUGGAAUUCCGCGUGUAGCAGUGAAAUGCGUAGAUAUGCGGAGGAACACCGAUGGCGAAGGCAGUCCCCUGGGCCUGUACUGACGCUCAUGCACGAAAGCGUGGGGAGCAAACAGG